rnacentral:rRNA from 1 species
AGGAUGAACGCUGGCGGCGUGCUUAACACAUGCAAGUCGAACGAUGAAAGCCGGAGCUUGCUCUGGCUGGAUUAGUGGCGAACGGGUGAGUAACACGUGAGUAACCUGCCCCAGACUCUGGGAUAAGCACUGGAAACGGUGUCUAAUACCGGAUACGAACUUCAGCCGCAUGGCUAGGAGUUGGAAAGAAUUUCGGUCUGGGAUGGACUCGCGGCCUAUCAGGUAGUUGGUGAGGUAACGGCUCACCAAGCCGACGACGGGUAGCCGGUCUGAGAGGGUGACCGGCCACACUGGGACUGAGACACGGCCCAGACUCCUACGGGAGCAGCAGUGGGGAAUAUUGCACAAUGGGCGCAAGCCUGAUGCAGCAACGCCGCGUGAGGGACGACGGCCUCGGUUGUAACCUCUUUAGUAGGAAGAAGCGAAAGUGACGGUACUGCAGAAAAGACAACGCUAACUACGAGCCAGCAGCCGC